UGUAUUUAUUGCGUCUUGAUUUAAUUUCAGCGGCAGAUCGUUUACUAUUUGUAGCACGAUAAUAAUUGCAAAGUAUAAUUUUUUAAUGUAAAAUGUUGACCAGAUAUACCAGGUACCCAGUUCUAUUUGGCCUUGGGAUGGUUGUGAUGACGUACGCAUUUAUAAAUAGAGAAACGUUAUUUUUGCAAAAUAUAGAAGAACAAAGAAUUGAAUUGUGGAAUAAACAUACAGAUCCAAAAAGUCGUCAAUUACUGGAAGAACUGAAAGCUAAAUUAAACAAAAAAAUCUAACUUGUUAACUUACACUAUAACAGUAUGUUAGUUAAUGCAAUGAAUAUAAUAAUACAUUCAACUUCAUGCUUAUAUAAUGUAAAAACUAAUGUAUUCAAGUACUGAACUCAUGUAUUUAAAUGUUUAUUCGGAAAUACUUUCUUAUUAGAAUAAAAGAUGAGUUAUAACAUA